rnacentral:ncRNA from 1 species
ACAUAUUUUAUGGAACCAGGUGUCGAGUGGAAGCAUUCGACUUAAUAGGGAAACCGGUGAAAUUCCGGUACGGUCGCGCCACUGUAAGCGGGGAGCUGCUCUAUUGCCACUGUUUCAAUGUUUGAAAUGGGAAGGCUGUGAGCACAAGCUAUGAUCCGCAAGUCAGGAGACCUGCCUGUUCUAUCAACACCAU